CUCUGUCUUCUCUCGUUCUCUGGGGAUUAGGGUUUUGUUGAGCGACGGCAACGACGAAGGCAAAGAUCUGAGGCGGCUACCUACUGUUGAUAUCCGGCGGGUUGCAAGGCUUCAUCGGCGGUUUAGGGUUACCGGCGUAGAGUGUUUCAUUUACUCGGAUCAGUAAGAGAUGUUUUCCGGCGGCGAAGAUAUGGGGUCACAUAGUGGGACGAAAUAUUAUCCUCCUCGAUUCUAUCUUAUGGGAAAAUCGCCUCUGCAGAACAGAAGUUUGAAUCACAACUGUUUCUUGAAUUUUUUUGGGAGGGUGAAAGAAGGCAUAGGUGUUGAUGUUUUUAACAACAUCAAGGAUACUUCUUCGGUUGGAGUAAUUUUGAAGUUGGCAGACAUGGAUUAUAUACCGUCUUCCAAUCUUGUUCACAACUUCCUGACAUGACAGUUGUCCAUAGAAAAUGUGCAUGAGGUUUGGAUAUUGAUUGGAGAUCAGCCCAUCAGGUUCUCUCUGCAUGAGUUCGCGGUAAUUACCGGAUUGAAUUGUGAGGAAAUGGCGGAUGAAGAAGAAAUGGAAAUAGAGGACUCUGAUUUCUGGAAAGAGUUUAAAAUCACUGGAGGUGGACCGAAAUUUAAACAUAAGGAGUUGGUGUUGUCUAGAUGUAGGACAUGGAGUUUUGAGAAUAGGAAAGUGAUUGGAUUGUUAUGCAUUCUAUCGAUAGGAAAUCCUUGGAAUAUCCCAAAAUAGCAGAAUUCCUAUGAAGUAUGCAAGAAGAGUGUUGGAUUUGGAAGCAUUUGAGAGGUAUCCAUUGGGGAGGGUUAGAUUUCAAAGCAUCGUGGAUUCCAUAAAAUAGUAAGCUUUGAUAGGAGUACCUAUGUAGUCCAUGGUUGUGUCCAUGUGCUGAUCAUAUGGGGAUAAGAAUCGCUGCCUUUAAUUUCUUGGUAGAAAAAUUUGGUUUUAGGAAUGAAGCAGCAGUUGUUGUCCCUCUUCUCCGUUACAGAUCAAGUCGCAAGCGAUUUGAUUUUGAAGCUUUGUUGUUGCGGGAAAAAGAACAACACACAAAGGUACGUGUGAGGCAUAUGUCGGAGAAGGCUGAAGAAGAAUUAUUUCAUGUUUGGCCAGUAGGAAACAUGGAUACAAACUUAAAAAUCUGGUUGGAGAUAUCAAGCAUGGUUGCCUUGAUGUAUUUGUCUGGGAUGCAGCAAGUGUCCGAGAUUGUCCUCCUGAAAACUGUAAGGAGCGAAAGAGUUCGAAGGGAAAGAGUAAGAAGGCAAAGAGUGGUAGCGAUGAUGAUUUGGUCAAUAAGGUUUCUGAGAAAAUUCUGCAGAAGAAGAGCAAAAGAAAGGAUCAGGACGAAGGUGAAGAUAGGAAGAAGAAGAGGAAAAGUUAAGGCAAACAGAUUGUGAGGGAUGAGGAAACUGAGAAAGAUGACACUAAUCUGGACGUCACCUUACGAGACAGAAUGAAAAAAAAAGAAGUAGAGAAGGGAAAGUGACAUUGAGAGAGCGUUUGAAAACGAGCUUUUGUCUAGAGGAUUAGUGUCUUUGAUAGAAGCUUUGAGUAGCAAGGUGCAUUAGGAAGCAAAAUCUCUGAACGGUUGGGUGACUUCGAAAGAAAAUUUGACUCUUUGGACCAGAAGAUUGGCAAUGUUGAGAGUGAUGUCACAAGAAUGAAGCAAACCCGACCUGAAACUGUGGCAGAGGCAGAGUCUACUACCGUUGAUCAAAGCGGCACAGAGGGAUAAUUUAAGUGCUCAAAAUCCUCUGGAUGGUUUUCCACACUUUCCAUAGAAUCAUCAUUGGCACUGUGGCAGAUUGUAUCCAUUGCAAUUGCAGAUUUUGAGAAUUUAUAGAAUGAUUUGUUUUCAGUUAAG